UACGUAGGGGGCAAGCGUUGUCCGGAAUCAUUGGGCGUAAAGCGCGUGUAGGCGGUUCGGUAAGUCGGAUGUGAAAGUCCAGGGCUCAACCCUGGGAUGCCGGUCGAUACUGCCGGACUAGAGUUCGGAAGAGGCGAGUGGAAUUCCCGGUGUAGCGGUGAAAUGCGCAGAUAUCGGGAGGAACACCAAUGGCGAAGGCAGCUCGCUGGGACGUUACUGACGCUGAGACGCGAAAGCGUGGGGAGCAAACAGG
rnacentral:rRNA from 1 species